CAGCCGCCGCGGUAAUACGGAGGGUGCAAGCGUUAAUCGGAAUUACUGGGCGUAAAGCGCACGCAGGCGGUUUGUUAAGUCAGAUGUGAAAUCCCCGAGCUUAACUUGGGAACUGCAUUUGAAACUGGCAAGCUAGAGUCUUGUAGAGGGGGGUAGAAUUCCAGGUGUAGCGGUGAAAUGCGUAGAGAUCUGGAGGAAUACCGGUGGCGAAGGCGGCCCCCUGGACAAAGACUGACGCUCAGGUGCGAAAGCGUGGGGAGCAAACAGGAUUAGAUACCCGAGUAGUCCCUGUCUCUUAUAC
rnacentral:rRNA from 1 species